rnacentral:rRNA from 1 species
UACGUAGGUGGCGAGCGUUGUCCGGAUUUAUUGGGCGUAAAGAGCGUGUAGGCGGCUUUGCAAGUCCGUUGUGAAAACUCGAGGCUCAACCUCGAGACGCCGGUGGAAACUGCAAAGCUAGAGUCCGGAAGAGGCGAGUGGAACUCCUGGUGUAGCGGUGGAAUGCGCAGAUAUCAGGAAGAACACCAACGGCGAAGGCAGCUCGCUAGGACGGUACUGACGCUGAGACGCGAAAGCGUGGGGAGCGAACAGG